rnacentral:lncRNA from 1 species
CAGUUUAUCAGAGACUACCAAUGACCAGUGGCUUAUAGAAUGUUCAAGGAGACCUGACAGCAGGCUUACAGGACUCAUCCAAACCCUGUCACGGUUACAGAAGAGCCAACACUAUCUCCUUUCUGAACAAUAUGAUCAUUUCUGAUUUCCAAGAGUAAAGCGACCUCAAAUUCAAACUGCCUGUGAUGAAGGAGAGGCGUGGAGGCACCGUCCGUGAGAGGCAGACAACAGAAAGUCACAGACCACAGUAUGUGUUAAAAUAGGAAAUAUCAUCUGGACGGCACGGAUUAACUAUAUCCCAGAGACAAGGAAGGAGCCAGAUUCGAAAUCCAAGCUGUCUAGGAAGUAAUCUUCAGAAGCAGCUGUUAAAACAGAACACUUUCUGCUAUCUGCCAGAGCCGCCCUGUCAGCUCUGUGUUGGAUUUAAAACAGUGGUGAUCAACUCUUGGAGUCAAGUCAUCUUGCCAGGUUAGAUGCAGAUAUCACUAUCAUGUCUGGCUCAGUGUUCAUUCUCAAUAUAAAGCUGCAUUGCCUUCUGACGGGUAUAAUAACCAACUCUCACAUUCCUGGAUGAUGCUACUCUGGUUCUGUGCUUGUGUUUUCAUGGCUUCUGCAUGGUCAAUCAAUCUUAAGGAUCAGGAGUGAACAGCAUUUGUGAGAUACCUGAGGCUUCAGGCUGUGAAGAUGAGAAAGGAAACCAGCAGCCUUUCCAGAUGUGAGAAGAGCCUUGCCACAAGAUGCUUGGAGGAAUGAAUGACCAGUGUGCAGGACACCCAGAUGCUGUCCUGGCCCCUUUGGUACUCAGCAUGUAAUCUUAGGAUCAACUUCUUGCUCUUUUUCUAAGAAGUACUCUUGAAUCCGAAGAACAAUAUCAGUUAUUAUCAAUAAUCAUCUGCAUUAGAGCAGAACGAAUACAUUUCUAUCAGGGAAGAGAAAACCACCCAUUCCAUCAUUAAGCUCAACAUCAUUUUAUUGUUUUCAUUAUUAUUUACUAUUGGCAGGUGGGCUGUGCAUGACAGUGCAGAUGCUGGGGCCAGAAGUCUACUCCAUGUAGUUCGUUCUCUCCUCCCACCUCUAUGUGGGUUCCAGCAGUCAAAAUCAGGUUGCCAGGUUUGCACAGCAAACACCUUCAACUGCUAAGCCAUCUUGCUGGCCCAAAGGUUGGCAUCACUGAAGCCUACAGUUUUUUAUGGUCCUCCAUAAAAGAAGUGACAGAAGUCCCCAUUUUCUACCAUAAAGCCUCCACUUUCUUAGAGGCCAGUGGCCAAGACAAGUGAAAAUGAUUCUGACUGUGAUUAUUCUAAUUCUGGUUAUUGGUAAAGUCGCCACUCUCUGUGUUUUGGCAACAUUAGCUCAAAUAAGCAUGGGCCUUUGUUUCUAGGGUGAAACAUGAGCUCUGACUUCUAAAUCAACAGACAAGAAAGUGUAUGAAAUAAAACUUUAAAAGCUGGGUGAUGUCUAAGAUUAUAAGACCAUUAAACAAUACUGGUAAGUACAGAGACACAGCAAAGCAGUAUGGAAACUUGGCUCACGGGUGAGCUCAUGAAACCUGCCUUAUGUGGAGACAGCCUUCCAAUUUGGUUCUGAAGUGAACAAAAAAUAAAGCUUGAUUUAAUCUGG